AGCGAACACUGGCGGCAGGCCUAACACAUGCAAGUCGAACGGAUCCUUCGGGAUUAGUGGCGGACGGGUGAGGAACACGUGGGAACGUGCCUUUUGGUUCGGAACAACCCAGGGAAACUUGAGCUAAUACCGGAUAAGCCCUUCGGGGGAAAGAUGUAUCGCCAUUAGAGCGGCCCGCGUCUGAUUAGCUAGUUGGUGAGGUAAAGGCUCACCAAGGCGACGAUCAGUAGCUGGUCUGAGAGGAUGAUCAGCCACACUGGGACUGAGACACGGCCCAGACUCCUACGGGAGGCAGCAGUGGGGAAUCUUGCGCAAUGGGCGAAAGCCUGACGCAGCCAUGCCGCGUGAAUGAUGAAGGUCUUAGGAUUGUAAAAUUCUUUCACCGGGGACGAUAAUGACGGUACCCGGAGAAGAAGCCCCGGCUAACUUCGUGCCAGCCGCCGCCGUAA
rnacentral:rRNA from 1 species